rnacentral:rRNA from 1 species
GGUACSGGAAGAAUAAGCACCGGCUAACUHCGUGCCAGCAGCCGCGGUAAUACGAAGGGUGAAAGCGUUACWMGGAAUUACUGGGCGUAAACCGUCCGUAGGUGGUUUGUUAAGUCUGAUGUGAAAGCCCUGGGCUCAACCUGGGAAUGGCAUUGGAAACUGGCUGACUAGAGUGCGGUAGAGGGUAGUGGAAUUCCCGGUGUAGCAGUGAAAUGCGUAGAUAUCGGGAGGAACAUCUGUGGCGAAGGCGACUACCUGGACCAGCACUGACACUGAGGCACGAAAGCGUGGGGAGCAAACAGGAUUAGAUACCCUGGUAGUCCACGCCCUAAACGAUGCGAACUGGAUGUUGGGAGCAACUUGGCUCUVAGUAUCGAACUAACGCGUUAAGUUCGCCGCCUGGGAAGUACGG